rnacentral:rRNA from 1 species
CGAAAGUUGAAAGGAGUAAUCCGUCUAAAGAUGAGCCCGCGUCCGAUUAGCUAGUUGGUAGAGUAAAAGCCUACCAAGGCGACGAUCGGUAGCUGGUCUGAGAGGAUGAUCAGCCACAAUGGACUGAGACACGGCCCAUACUCCUACGGGAGGCAGCAGUGGGGAAUUUUACGCAAUGGGCGAAAGCCUGACGUAGCGACACCGCGUGAGCGAAGAAGCCCCUUGGGGUGUAAAGCUCUGUCAGCUGGAACGAAAAAAAUGACGGUACCAGCAGAGGAAGCAUCGGCUAACUACGUG